AAAAGUCUCAAUCCUACUUGCUUUAACUAUAAGCUAGUAUGGCUUGGAUUCGUGGAAGUUGCUGGUUAUUUAUAAAUUAGCUCUUCUUAAUAUCAUUAGCAAAUUUACUGCUAAACUCUUUUGAUAUGAUAACUAUCAAUAUCAAAGAGAUAAUGCAUAUUAAUUUUGCUUCUAAUUUGUCCAUAAGACUAAUGUUCUUGACAA
rnacentral:misc_RNA from 1 species